rnacentral:rRNA from 1 species
CCCUUAGAUGUCCUGGGCCGCACGCGCGCUACACUGAGUGUCUGAGAUACGAGUCUGCCUGGUCCGGCAAGGUCUAGGUAAUCGCUAAAAGACACAUCAUGCUUGGGAUAGAUUAUUGCAAAUAUUAAUCUUGAACGAGGAAUUCCUAGUAAGCGCAAGUCAACAGCUUGCGUUGAUUACGUCCCUGCCCUUUGUACACACCGCCCGUCGCUACUACUGAUUGGAUGUUUAAGCGAGGUUCUCGAACUGCUAGCGACUUAGCUUCGGUGAGGUCGCAGUGUGGGAAGUGAACCUAGCUUUGAUGUCUAGAGGAAGUAAAAGUCGUAACA